CCUACGGGUGGCAGCAGUGAGGAAUAUUGGUCAAUGGACGAGAGUCUGAACCAGCCAAGUAGCGUGAAGGAUGACUGCCCUAUGGGUUGUAAACUUCGUUUAUAUGGGAAUAAAAUGUUCCACGUGUGGGAUUUUGUAUGUACCAUAUGAAUAAGGAUCGGCUAACUCCGUGCCAGCAGCCGCGGUAAUACGGAGGAUCCGAGCGUUAUCCGGAUUUAUUGGGUUUAAAGGGAGCGUAGGUGGAGUGUUAAGUCAGUUGUGAAAGUUUGCGGCUCAACCGUAAAAUUGCAGUUGAAACUGGCAGUCUUGAGUACAGUAGAGGUGGGCGGAAUUCGUGGUGUAGCGGUGAAAUGCUUAGAUAUCACGAAGAACUCCGAUUGCGAAGGCAGUUCACUGGACUGCAACUGACACUGAGGCUCGAAAGUGUGGGUAUCAAACAGGAUUAGAUACCCUUGUAGUC
rnacentral:rRNA from 1 species